rnacentral:lncRNA from 1 species
AAUAUUUUAAAACAGUGUUAAUCAUUUAUGAAACUAAAUUUUUUUAUGCAUUUCUGUCGGGAUACUUCUUUUCUAAGAGUUCCCCUCCCCUCUCUCAUUUUGUCUAGAAUUUUGUAAGAAUUUGGAUCCAUCUACAGCCCCUCAACUCAUAUGAGCUUUUAUUUUGAAUGUUCAAAAGACUGAUGGAGAAGGGAGCAGCCUUGAAGAUCUGGCCUUUGGUACUUCUCUUCCAUCCAACAUCUAGCCUCUCCGAAUGGAAGUUGUGACUAUUUACAAUGAAUACAGCUUGUUUGCCAACCAAGUACCUAUGAAAUUAAAUGCAUAUAGAUACUGUGAGCAUUUGCAAGAUAGUUGAUUUGCUCCAGUCAGGACAGUGGUUAGUUUUUCUUCCUGGUGGGGCAACAAUAACAAUUUCCUAUCUAGAAGGAAGCUCCCUGGGAUUAUUCACUCCUGGAAGAGUCUAGAAGAAUGUUGCUUGGAGUUGAUACACUGCAGAUAAGUGGCCUAAU